ACCCUCUCAGGGUUACACCAGAAGAGUUUCCAGUACUCUUCCUGUCUCAACUACGGGAGGGAGAGUCGAGCAGAGGCCUGUCCAUUCCAUUCCUAGCUUGGCCAGUGGCUAGCGAGUGGAAGGCAACCUGCUACAAGU